GUCCACAGCAUCAUUCUUCCAAGAUCGGAGUGUGCCGCUGGGACGGCUUAUAGGAAUAAGACCUGCGAGCCGAGGAAGUUCGCAGUUCCCGAGUACAAAUGACUUCAGACAGCAUAGGAAUUUAUCUAGUGGAAGAUCAAAUGCAGAGGUCUCCAGAAAUCCUGGGGUAGAAACAUCUCAGGAGCUUUGUGUCCCGUUAUUACACAAUGUCAUAGAGAAGAUGAGCCGAAAUAAAAGCACCUCAAGGCAUUAAUUUGAGACCAAACAUCUAUUUUUGGUCCAUACUUGAGUUCCAAAUUAUCGUCAUACACCUUUGAUUGCUUCCCUAUUGGAUG
rnacentral:lncRNA from 1 species